rnacentral:tRNA from 1 species
GCCUCCAUAGCUCAGCUGGAUAGAGCAACAGACUUCUAAUCUGUCGGUCGCAGGUUCGAGUCCUGCUGGGGGCGCCA